UACGAAGGGGGCUAGCGUUGUUCGGAAUUACUUGGCGUAAAGCGCGCGCAGGCGGCUAUCCAAGUCAGUGGUGAAAGCCCGGAGCUCAACUCCGGAACUGCCAUUGAAACUGUUUAGCUUGAGGAUGAGAGAGGUGAGUGGAAUUCCCAGUGUAGAGGUGAAAUUCGUAGAUAUUGGGAAGAACACCGGUGGCGAAGGCGGCUCACUGGCUCAUUACUGACGCUCAGGCGCGAUAGCGUGGGGAUCAAACAGG
rnacentral:rRNA from 1 species